GUCAGUGUAGUGUAGUGGUUUGAAUGUUGGACUAGGACUCUGAGAGACCAGGGUUCAAAUCUCAGGUUGGCCA
rnacentral:tRNA from 1 species